rnacentral:rRNA from 1 species
CCUACGGGAGGCAGCAGUGGGGAAUAUUGCGCAAUGGGGGAAACCCUGACGCAGCGACGUCGUGUGAGGGAAGAAGGCUUUCGGGUCGUAAACCUCUGUCAGAAGGGAAGAAACGUCAGGAUUCAAUAGGGUCCUGGCCUGACGGUCCUUCAAAGGAAGCGCCGGCUAACUCCGUGCCAGCAGCCGCGGUAAUACGAGGGCGCGAGCGUUAAUCGGAAUCACUGGGCGUAAAGCGUGCGUAGGCGGUUUGAUAAGUCAGACCAAAUCCCUCGGCUCAACCGGGGAACUGCGUUUGAAACUGUUAGACUCCAGUCCUGGAGAGGGUGGCGGAAUUCCUGGUGUAGGAUGAAAUCCGUAGAUAUCAGAGGAACACCGGUGGCGAAGGCGGCCACCUGGACAGGUACUGACGCUGAGGCCAAGCUGGGGAGCAAACAGGAUUAAUACCCUGGUAGUCCACGCGGUAAACAUGGAUGCUAGGUGUCGGGAGCGAUCUUCGGCGCCGCACUAACGCAUUAAGCAUCCCGCCUGGGGAGUACGGUCGCAGGCUGAAACUCAAAGGAAUAGACAGGGGCCCGCCAACGUGGAGUAUGUGGUUUAAUUCAUGCAACCGAAUAACCUUACCUGGGUUUGACAUCCCACGAAUUCUUCCGAAAAGAAUAAGUGCCCUUCGGGACUAUGAAUAAGGGCGAAUUCCACCAUUGG